rnacentral:rRNA from 1 species
GACGAACGCUGGCGGCGUGCUUAACACAUGCAAGUCGAACGGAAAGGCCCUGCUUUUGUGGGGUGCUCGAGUGGCGAACGGGUGAGUAACACGUGAGUAACCUGCCCUUGACUUUGGGAUAACUUCAGGAAACUGGGGCUAAUACCGGAUAGGAGCUCCUGCUGCGUGGUGGGGGUUGGAUAGUUUCGGCGGUUGGGGAUGGACUCGCGGCUUAUCAGUUUGUUGGUGGGGUAGUGGCUGACCCAGGCUUUGACGGGUAGCCGGCCUGAGAGGGUGAACGGCCACAUUGGGACUAAGAUACGGCGCAGACGCCUACGGGAGGCAGCAGUGGGGAAUAUUGCACAAUGGGCGGAAGCCUGAUGCAGCAACGCCGCGUGCGGGAUGACGGCCUUCGGGUUGUAAACCGCUUUCGCCUGUGACGAAGCGUGAGUGACGGUAAUGGGUAAAGAAGCACCGGCUAACUACGUG